GACGAACGCUGGCGGCGUGCCUAAUACAUGCAAGUCGAGCGGAUGACGGAGGAGCUUGCUCCUCCUGAUUCAGCGGCGGACGGGUGAGUAACACGUGGGCAACCUGCCCUGUAGAUUGGGAUAACUCCGGGAAACCGGGGCUAAUACCGAAUAAUCCUUCGGACCUCAUGGUCCGAUGUUGAAAGACGGUUUCGGCUGUCACUACAGGAUGGGCCCGCGGCGCAUUAGCUAGUUGGUGAGGUAACGGCUCACCAAGGCCACGAUGCGUAGCCGACCUGAGAGGGUGAUCGGCCACACUGGGACUGAGGCACGGCCCAGACUCGUACGGGAGGCAGCAGUAGGGAAUCUUCCACAAUGGACGAAAGUCUGAUGGAGCAACGCCGCGUGAGUGAAGAAGGUUCUCAGAUCGUAAAACUCUGUUGUGAGGGAAGAACAAGUACCGGAGUAACUGCCGGUGCCUUGACGGUACCUCAUUAGAAAGCCACGGCUAACUACGUGCCAGCCGCCGCGGUAA
rnacentral:rRNA from 1 species